rnacentral:rRNA from 1 species
CCCUUCGGGACUAGGGGUGAGGCUGAACGCUCGAUCCGAUCGGGUAGUAGGUAAGCGAUGGGGUGACGCAGGAAGGUAGUCCAGCCCAGGCGAUGGUUGUCCUGGGGUAAGCAUGUAGGGCGGAACGUAGGUAAAUCCGCGUUCUAUUCAGCCUGAGAUGUGAUGCCGAGCCGAUUGUGGUGAAGUGGAUGAUCCUAUGCUGCCGAGAAAAGCCUCUAGUGAGUGUUGUGGCGGCCCGUACCCUAAACCGACUCAGGUGGUCAGGUAGAGAAUACCAAGGCGAUCGGGUGAACUGUGGUUAAGGAACUCGGCAAAUUGCCCCCGUAACUUCGGGAGAAGGGGGACCUCUGCUGGUGAUGGGCUUUACGUUCUGAGCUGGUGGGGGUCGCAGUGGCCAGGGGGAAGCGACUGUUUACUAAAAACACAGGUCCGUGCGAAGUCGUAAGACGAUGUAUACGGACUGACGCCUGCCCGGUGCCGGAACGUUAAGGGGACCGCUUAGCCAGCUUCGGUUGGCGAAGGUGAGAACUUAAGCGCCGGUAAACGGCGGUGGUAACUAUAACCAUCCUAAGGUAGCGAAAUUCCUUGUCGGGUAAGUUCCGACCUGCACGAAUGGCGUAACGACUUCCCCGCUGUCUCAACCACAGACCCGGCGAAAUUGCACUACGAGUAAAGAUGCUCGUUUCGCGCAGCAGGACGGAAAGACCCCGGGACCUUCACUACAGCUUGACAUUGGCGUUUGGAACGUCUUGUGUAGGAUAGGUGGGAGACUGGGAAGCUGUCACGCUAGUGAUGGUGGAGUCAUUGGUGAAAUACCACUCUGGUCGUUUUGAACGUCUAACUCUGGUCCGUGAUCCGGAUCGGGGACAGUGUCUGGUGGGUAGUUUAACUGGGGCGGUUGCCUCCUAAAGAGUAACGGAGGCGCCCAAAGGUUCCCUCAGCCUGGUUGGCAAUCAGGUGUUGAGUGUAAGUGCACAAGGGAGCUUGACUGUGAGACUGACAGGUCGAGCAGGGGCGAAAGCUGGGACUAGUGAUCCGGCAUCGGCGUGUGGAAGCGGUGUCGCUCAACGGCUAAAAGGUACCCCGGGGAUAACAGGCUGAUCUUCCCCAAGAGUCCAUAUCGACGGGAUGGUUUGGCACCUCGAUGUCGGCUCGUCGCAUCCUGGGGCUGGAGUAGGUCCCAAGGGUUGGGCUGUUCGCCCAUUAAAGCGGUACGCGAGCUGGGUUUAGAACGUCGCGAGACAGUUCGGUCCCUAUCCGCUGCGCGCGCAGGAGACUUGAAGGGGGCUGUCCCUAGUACGAGAGGACCGGGACGGACGAACCUCUGGUGUGCCAGUUGUACCGCCAGGUGCACGGCUGGUUGGCUACGUUCGGAAGGGAUAACCGCUGAAAGCAUCUAAGCGGGAAGCUCGCCUUGAGAUGAGGUCUCCCACCCUGUGAGGGGGUAAGGCUCCCGGUAGAUCACCGGGUUGAUAGGCCGGAGGUGGAAGCACGGUAACGUGUGGAGCUGACCGGUACUAAUAGGCCGAGGACUUGACC